rnacentral:rRNA from 1 species
UACGUAGGUGGCAAGCGUUGUCCGGAUUUACUGGGCGUAAAGAAUGCGUAGGCGGCUCUUUAAGUGAGAUGUGAAAUUCCCGGGCUUAACUUGGGAGCUGCAUUUCAAACUGGAUAUCUAGAGUGCGGGAGAGGUAAGUGGAAUUCCUAGUGUAGCGGUGAAAUGCGUAGAGAUUAGGAAGAACACCAGUGGCGAAGGCGACUUACUGGACCGUAACUGACGCUGAGGCAUGAAAGCGUGGGGAGCAAACAGG